rnacentral:rRNA from 1 species
GGAUCAAUAUGUCGGUCGUGCUUCGGUACGUACUGGUAUCAUUGGUUUCUCCUUUCUGACGAGCCAUGAUGUCAUUAAUUUGGUGUUAUGGGGAGUUAGGACUGUUACUUUGAAAAAAUUAGAGUGUUUAAAGCAGGCUUUAGCUUGAAUACAUUAGCAUGGAAUAAUGAAAUAGGACGUUCGAACCUAUUUUGUUGGUUUCUAGGAUCAACGUAAUGAUUAAUAGGGAUAGUUGGGGGCAUUAGUAUUCAAUUGUCAGAGGUGAAAUUCUUGGAUUUAUUGAAGACUAACUACUGCGAAAGCAUUUGCCAAGGAUGUUUUCAUUAAUCAAGAACGAAAGUUAGGGAAUCGAAGACGAUCAGAUACCGUCGUAGUCUUAACCAUAAACUAUGCCGACUAGGGAUCGGAUGAUGUUAAUUUUUUAAUGACUCAUUCGGCGCCUUACGGGAAACCAAAGUGUUUGGGUUCCGGGGGGAGUAUGGUCGCAAGGCUGAAACUUAAAGGAAUUGACGGAAGGGCACCACCAGGGGUGGAGCCUGCGGCUUAAUUUGACUCAACACGGGGAAACUCACCAGGUCCAGACAUAGUAAGGAUUGACAGAUUGAGAGC